rnacentral:rRNA from 1 species
AUUGAACGCUGGCGGCAGGCCUAACACAUGCAAGUCGAGCGAGCGGCGGACGGGUGAGUAAUGGAUGGGGACUGCCCGAUAGAGGGGGAUAACGACUGGAAAAGGUGGCUAAUACCGCAUACUAUGGGAUAACUCAUGUGGGAUUAGCUAGUAGGUGGGGUAAAGGCUCACCUAGGCGACGAUCCCUAGCGGGUCUGAGAGGAUGAUCGGCGCCACUGGGACUGGGACCCGGCCCAGACUCCUACGGUGGCAGCAGUGGGAAAAUUUGCGCAAUGGGCGCAAUCCUGAUGCAGCCAUGCCGCUUGUAUGAAGAAGGCCUUAGGGUUGGCAAGUACUUUCAGCGGGGAGGCGUUACCCACAGAAAAAGCACCGGCUAACUCCGUGCCAGCAGCCGCGGUAAUAC